UACGUAGGGUGCAAGCGUUGUCCGGAAUUAUUGGGCGUAAAGAGCUCGUAGGCGGUUUGUCGCGUCGGCUGUGAAAACCCGGGGCUCAACCCCGGGCCUGCAGUCGAUACGGGCAAACUAGAGUGUGGUAGGGGAGACUGGAAUUCCCGGUGUAGCGGUGAAAUGCGCAGAUAUCGGGAGGAACACCGGUGGCGAAGGCGGUUCUCUGGGCCUUACCUGACGCUGAGGAGCGAAAGCGUGGGGAGCGAACAGG
rnacentral:rRNA from 1 species